rnacentral:rRNA from 1 species
UUAUCUCUGUAGAGUCUGCAUAUCAAUAAGCGGAGGAAAAGAAACUAACAAGGAUUCCCCUAGUAACGGCGAGUGAAGCGGGAAGAGCUCAAAUUUGAAAUCUUCAAGGUUUGACCUUGACGAACUGUAGUUUAAAGAAGUGUUUUCGGUUAGAGGAGUAGUAAAGUUCUUUGGAAUAGGACAUCAUAGAGGGUGAGAAUCCCGUAUUUGACUAUUCUUUCUAGCUUUGUGAUACACUUUCAAAGAGUCGGAUUGUUUGGGAAUGCAGUCUAAAAUGGGUGGUAAAUUUCAUCUAAAGCUAAAUAUUGGCGAGAGACCGAUAGCGAACAAGUACCGUGAGGGAAAGAUGAAAAGAACUUUGAAAGGAGAGUUAAACAGUACGUGAAAUUGUCAAAAGGGAAGCGUUUGACACCAGUGUUGUUUUUCCGAAAAUCAAUUAAAAAUUGAUUCAUGCCAGGUUGUAUUGACCUUAUCAGCUUGCAAUUUGGUUUUGGGUCUCUUUUUGAUGCACUUUUCGGUUAACAAGUCAACAUCAAUUUCCUUUGCUGUAAAAAGGUAAGAGGAAGGUGGCUUCAAUUUCGGUUGAAGUGUUUAUAGCCUUUUAUCUCUGCAGUCGGGGAGAUUGAGGUCUGCAGCGUAGAUCCUUCGGGGCUAGAUACAUUUAUGCUAAGUUAUAGCUUUUCAUAGACAACUUGUUGACUAUGUUUAGUCAUGUAGCUUACUCGUAAGUGCUAUUUUACCUACGCUUAGGAUGUUGAAGACUCUACAGAGAUA